UUGCUCAGGUUGCUCCCAGCUCCCUUCCUUCCCCCUCAGGCCCUCACCGAGGUACGAGGUGCGAGAAAGAAAGCGACUUUCCUCCGAGCAUGGCGGGCGGCUGCGCCGAAGACGACGUGGUGGAGGUGAGCUGCGGCGGGGGCGGCCGCGACCCCGGCGCCUACGCGGCGGUGCUCAAGAGGAGGCUCGACCUGUACUGCGCCGCCGUCGCCAAAUCCAUGGUACGGUUUCUACUCUGCUAAAGAUUGGCUCCCUUUGGUCUUCUGCUUGUGUGUUUGGCGUUUCAAUUUCAGCUGUAGUCUGAUUUGGAGUCAGUAUGGUAGAAUCUGCAAGUUCUAGCAUUUCAGUUAUUUCCCACCUCCGUUUCAGGGAUAGGAAUUUCAUUGUAAAUUCUAACUUUUGGGAAAUCUUACAAAGAAAAAUAAAAUCGGUUGCUUCAUUCGAGGACUUGAAAAAGAUCUUAGCUUGGUUGGUCGGCAUACUUGUCAACGCAAUCCUACACUGUCAGUGAUACGCCGGGGCCACAUUAGAAAUUCUCAGUAGCUUGUGGCACCUAGGAGUACUCGUAACAUAUGUUUUUUUUUUAAAAAAAAUCCUCUGCCUAUGAGAAACAGAGGAGGCACUGCGCACGCCCAUUUCUUAUGGCUUGUGGUGAACAAUCUGACCAAGAUCGGAGCACCGCCAUUGUCAUAGUAGAUUCGUAGUACUGUGCAAUGGCGAAAUGCAAACGUUGCCACUUCACAUGGAAACUGUAUCAGAUAUUAGUUUCCGAUCUGAUCUAAAGGUAAUAAAGGAGUCUUGUAGUGCUGACACUGACAUGUAGGAUAAUAGAUUUGGUCUAUGGGGAAUGUGCUAGGAGGGUGUCUGUCUUGGACACUCUACAUACACAGCGUUGGGAUAUUCUGAUGGAAAGUCAUUUACCAAAGUUGAUUGAUGAGUCUGAUGUGUCGGACAUGAGCCGAUAGGAUCUUUCCUUUUGUUUCUUUUUAGAUUUUUUUUAAAGAGCAUGUCCUCUUUGUUUUUUCUGUCUGAAAGGGAUAGGAAGCAUUAUAUGUUUUAUGAGAAUGAAUUUGUACAUUGCUUUUCUUGAGUAAGUUAUUCAGUAAUUAGUACCAGAAGCAAGUCGAUCGGUUUCCUUUUUUUUUCCAGAAGUAUCCACUUUUAUUUGGAUAUUGUAAAAGAACAUGAUGCAUGCCUUUUUCUAUGAUCCUCAAACUCGCGCACAAAUUGCACGCGUAUUUCCCAUUUUGGUAAUAUAGUUAAGGGGUGGUCUUGGCACCCUUUAAUAUUGACAUUGCAACCAAUGGUUCCUAAAAACUGCAAGCUGUGUAUGUAUUGUAAAGGGGUGGCCUUGGGCACCCUUUAAUAAUGACCAUUGCAACCAAUGUUUCCCCCGAACUGCAAGUUAUAAAUAUAUCAUUUUUCCUUACUAUGUGGGUAAGGAUGUGCAGUACUAGUGGCUUUCCGGAGCUUAACAGUGAUAGAAACCUCGUGUACUGGCUGCACCAAGCCCCUUGCCGCUUUGUUGCUGUGAUGUUUAUGUAAGUCCAUUUUUUCAGGAAGCUAAAUCACAAGAAUCUUCGUUGGGCUACCCCAACACACAAGCUUCAAAUACUUCACAAUUGAUUUCUCAAGCUUCCUUUGAUGGUAUUUAUGACCUUUUCACAAUUGCAUACAUGUCAGUCUAUGAAGCAACUAGGGCAAAAUGUUUAUGCCAAAAGGGCCUGGCAGGAAGAUUUUGGAGGCAGUAGAGCCUUAGGUUGAGGAAAUGUGGUCCGCCAUGAGGUCUAAUGCCAAAGUGUGUUAGAAGUCGAAUCCUAUUCAAUUCAACAUUCACCCUGUUGAACAUUCUAAUAGAACAUUAGAUACCAAACUUCAGUUGUCCUAGUACACUUGAUUCUCAGCCUUGGUUCAAGUACGCUGAACCAUCAGCUAGAGGAUAGUCUUCUGUGAUAAUUACAUACAGAAGAUGAAGAUCUGAUCUCACCAGAAGUUUCAGUACAAUAGGUUAACUAAUGCCCAAGGAAUCAGAGAGGUGAGUAGAAAUGUCAAUUCUGGAUUAGCUUUGUGGUGGGUUGACGUCCAUAUGGUGUUUGAUUAAUUGUCCCGGAGAAAUGAUCUUAAACUAUGAGUAAUGCUGGUGAGGUCAGAUAUAAUGUUGAGACAUGAAUAGUCUGAUCUGCUUCAGUUAUACUGAACACUGACAUCAACUCUGUUAGUGAGUUGCGCUGGGCAUCCAACAGCAGUGUGCAGAUAUGCUGCAUUGUGGUUUGGAAAGCAUAGACCAUAUUGAAUCAUUGCCAUUGUAUUUUACAUAUCUUACUGUACUGUUUUGGUUCUUUAUUUCCGCACACAGAUGAUGGAGAUGGGGCAGACCUAGUUACAAACUCAAACAUCAUAGACUAUGAUGAUUUUCGAGGCAAGCCAGCUAACAGUGGCACAUCAAAGGAACAAUCAGAUGAUGAUGGCGAUCUUGAGGAGAAUACUGACCCUACCAAUACAAAGAAGAUGAGGAGGUAACAUAGAUUGUUGCGUUGCACAAGUUUCUUGAGGAGAAUAUAUAGAUCAUGCUAAAUAGAAAACAUUUCUUGAUUUUGUUGCAAGUGAGAGAUUGAUUUACCUUGUUAGAAGGCAACAUACUUCCAUUUUCCUGUUCCCUUCAUCUACCAUUCACUGCCUUUGAAGUCAGGAAGGAUCCAAUCACAUCAAGCUCUGUCCAAUUGUCCAUACCCACAAAAAAUUUUAUAAAUUGCUUUACUACUAAAUUUAAUCCUUAUAUUCAUGGACAAGUUAGUAAUUCAGUUCAACGUAAACGGAUCCAGGAAUCCCAUACUUUUUUUGCAAUUAGUUUCCUUUUAGUUUAAAUUGGUUGCCUUUACCUUGAUUCCACAUGAAACCUGUCAUGUAUUGGAAGCUUAAAAUACCACUUCGUUGAUGAACUUACUCAAUUAAGUUUCAAUGUGAUCAGAAUGCUUUCAAAUCGAGAAUCAGCUAGGCGAUCAAGAAAGAGGAAGCAAGAACACCUGACCGAUCUUGAAUCACAGGUUUCAAAUUUGUGACAGAUGAAUACCCAAGUUAAUAUCCAACUGAAGUGAAGAUAAUCAUGCUAAUUACUACAUCAUUUUCUAGGUUUCCAGGUUAACAUCUGAGAAUGCAUCUUUGCUAAAGCGCUUGGCUGAUAUGACUCAGAAAUACAAGGAUGCAACCCUUGACAAUAGAAAUCUUAUAGUUGAUGUUGAGACUAUGAGGAGAAAGGUUGGUUCAUCUUAACUGCAUCACACAUUUUUGUUAUUGUUUUCUGUAAACUUGAAAGGUUGGUUCAUCUUAACUGCAUCACACAUUUUUGUUAUUGUUUGCUGUAAACUUUUAACUGCAUCAAUUUGCAUAUUAUCAUACUAUUGUUCUCCAGAGGGAGCAUUAGUUGCAGCUAUUUGUACUAAGGCUCUGCACAGAGACUAGAUCAAUGUUUACAUUUCUUUGGAUGGCUAAAAGGUGGAGAGAAAGUAAUAUGAAAUUGAACAGUUCUUUGUUUUAGAUAAUCUGUAGCUUCAGCUUUAUUUCACAAUGAGUUUUAACUGUACCACAAAUAGGCACAACCGUAUUUCCAUUUGAUUUUCUGAUUUUCUACAUAUGAGAAUAUAAUAAUUUUGUUUCUUUCUUUUUCCUGUAGCAGUUUUAUUUGAGAUAUUUGUUUUCUUGUAUUAGUUUGAUUUUUAAGAAUAACAGUGUUCUCUUACAGGUGUGAGGAGUUGUAAAAUGAAACAAAAUAUUAAAAGUGCCCAUACCAUGUCGCAGUGCUCCAAGUGUGUGUCCCAUUAGACCUGCGGUGUUUCCCUUGUGGAAGGGCUGUUCUAUCUCGAGAACAUCGAUACCGCACAUGAGGAGUCCAAACAGGAUACUACCAUACAAACAUUUCAUAAUGCUUGUGUGUGAGUAUGUGCAACUCUGUAUUGUUGCAUCAUGAGUAAAGGUGUUUUUGAAUUUCAAAGUGUUCAUGUUUAAGGGCUUUAACAUAUUCAUGUAAACUAACUGCAAAAUUGUCUUAUCCUAUAACUGUCUCAAUCAUGUUUUAUAAAACAAAAAUCUUCACGAAAAUCUAAGUAAUUAACAAAACCGCACAUGAUCAUAUAAUAAAAGAAACAUGUCUUUACAAUUUUAUAUUGCUAUCCCUUUUACAUAUACACUUAUUUUCUAUGGAACUUUAUGUUUGCUAAUAAGCAUUGUACAAAACUCCAUUGCAAUAGAUUUCUAGUUGAGUUACGAGUGAGCCACAACUGCCUUCAUAUUCCCCUACCCAAAGGCUGUAGAAAUAGACAUAAUUGGUUUCCUUCUAAUUUAUUUUGAUAGCAAAGUAUUGUUUUCAGGUGAACAUAGCAGAGGAAGCUGUCAGGAGACUAACUGGAACAACCCUCCUAUUACCCACCACAUCUGACAAGCCCGCGAGUAGCAUGCGCUUGACUUCAUGUGCAUCUGAUGCAGCUUCUGCUUCUGUCGCCAUUGAAGACAGCAUGGAACAUUUUCUCCGGGCGCCAUUUCAAGACAGUCAGACCAAGCUCGACCUCCCAAAUGCAGAAAUUCCUUUGGCCAGUGGAGAGAUAGGCACCAAGCUGGCUCCUAUGCGACGUGUCGCUAGCUUGGAGAACCUGC
rnacentral:lncRNA from 1 species